rnacentral:rRNA from 1 species
AACAUCGCCUCUUGUUUAAAUAUAAGAGGUCCCGCCUGCCCUGUGACAAUGUUUAACGGCCGCGGUAAUUUGACCGUGUGAAGGUAGCGUAAUCACUUGUCUUUUAAAUGAGGACCCGUAUGAAUGGCAUAACGAGGGCUUAACUGUCUCAUUCUUCUAGUCAAUGAAAUUGAUCUUCUCGUGCAGAAGCGAGAAUAAUACCAUAAGACGAAAAGACCCUGUGGAGCUUUAGAUUCUAUUAUAUCUUCGGUUGGGGCGACCAUGGAGAAAACCUCCAGAAUGUUUAGAACCACACUUCAAGGCUUUAGAACUUCUAAUCUUUUGAUCCGGACUGCCGAUUAAUGAAACAAGUUACCCCAGGGAUAACAGCGCAAUCCCCUUUUAGAGCCCUUAUCGACAAGGGGGCUUACGACCUCGAUGUUGGAUCAGGACAUCCUAAGGGCGCAGCCGCUAUUAAGGGUUCGUUUGUUCAACGAUUAAAGUCCUACGU